AAGGGGAAAGGAAAGAAGCGGCGGUAAAAUUCGAGGAUAUCAUCGGUAUUUGGGGCAACAGCGCGGAGAAAGGUUUUCCGUGUGGUCGAAUCGAAUCGAAUCGAAUCGACUCGAUGAUGCAACGUCGGUUUACAGUCGAUGACAGUCACGUUUCUCGAAAACGAGGAUUGCGACACGCCGACCGGUCGAAAUUGGAUUCGAUAACGACGAGUCUACAAACCACGGUUACGUGCCUCGAGGAAUGCACCUGUUAAAAGUCGUUGACGAAUUAUUCGGAUCGCUGACAUCGCGACAUAUGGUUGACACAUGUCGCGAAUUUACGAGUCGUUUCCUUCUCGCCUCGGCAAUUUCCAUUAAUAAAUAAUCGACACGUAAAAAUUUUGACUCGAGCGUGGACGAAUGGUUGGACGAUGCGCGUUCUUUGCGCGGAGAGUUGGCAAUUUUAUUCGCCGGUCGACGUUCCUAACGAUCCCUGCGCUUCUAAGAAAAGCGUCGUACAUAUAUAUAUAUAUAUAUAUAUUUUGCGCGGCUCGUGUAGCGAAGUUUGAAAACGACUCGCGACACGACGACAGGCCUCGAUCCGUUCUCGUUCAACAUUGGUAUUUAUAGCUCGUUCUCUUUCUCUCUCUCUUUCUUUUCCGUCCGGGAUGCCUCCGUUCCUUGGCUGCAAUUUUUUUUUCCUUUCGACUUUUGUUUAAAUAGAGACUCGACGUCGAAGGUUGCAUUCCGCAUUUUAUAUCGAGACGCGGUGCGAAAGAAUGGAAAGCGACGAAGGGAGCGUUGCUCUUCGGUCGGAGACGAUCGGUAUACGGGGAGGGAGAGUGGAAAGGCAUAUUUGUCCGGAUGAAGAAUCGGCGGAUGAAAGCGAGGUGGGUGGGCGAGAGGGAAGAGGGGCGAUCUCGGACCUCGUUCCGAAUUAAUAUUUUUGUUCACGCGACGAACACGCGACACGGUCGUGAGACGAUGCACGUAUACGCGUGUGUAGCGUGUAGCGUUCAUUCCGUAAUUGCAUCGGAUCACGUGCAACGCGCACGUUCGAAUUCGUGGCGUGGCGUGUCUGGGCGGAACGCCGCUUUUGGCAAUGGCCGCCCUCCGGUUAUUAGCGCAACGUGGCGCGGUUAUUAGUCGCGUCGAGACGGCGAGAUCGUUCAAGCCGGGUUGCACAAUUGCUUUUGCCUGCGUCGCGUCGGAUGCACUCGCGUCCUUCCAACCAAGCACGAGUGACUCGGAUUCACGUGUUGUUGCCGCCG